GAUUAGCUCAGUUGGUUAGAGCACUUGCCUUACAAGCAAGGGGUCGGGAGUUCGAGUCUCUCAUCGC
rnacentral:tRNA from 1 species